rnacentral:lncRNA from 1 species
AGGUGCUCAAUCAUUUCAUAAGCAACCAUGUCCUCAUGUUGCUUCUGAAGCUCAGGAUUCAUAGUGGCAAGCAUAAGACAUCCAACGUCUACCAUGUCAUCGAGAUGCUUCUUGUAAGCAUCUCUAUCAGCCCUCGAGGCAUUAGCGGGUGGUUCGUUAGGAACCGGUUGUUCAAUGACAUAUAAUUUUCGUUCUUGUUUGAGGACAAUCCUUAAGUUACGGAACCAGUCAAGGAAAUUUAAACCAUUCAAUUUGUCAUUCUCAAGGACCGAUCGCAAUGAGAGUGUAUUAGUG